UACGUAGGGGGCAAGCGUUGUCCGGAAUUACUGGGCGUAAAGCGCGCGUAGGCGGCUUUGUAAGUUAGAGGUGAAAGCCCGGGGCUCAACCCCGGAACUGCCUUUAAAACUGCAUCGCUUGAAUCCGGGAGAGGUGAGUGGAAUUCCGAGUGUAGAGGUGAAAUUCGUAGAUAUUCGGAAGAACACCAGUGGCGAAGGCGGCUCACUGGACCGGGAUUGACGCUGAGGUGCGAAAGCGUGGGGGAGCAAAACAGGAUUAGAACUACCCGUGG
rnacentral:rRNA from 1 species